rnacentral:rRNA from 1 species
GUAGGUGGCAAGCGUUGUCCGGAAUUAUUGGGCGUAAAGCGCGCGCAGGUGGUCUUUAAGUCUGAUGUGAAAGCCCCCGGGCUCAACCGGGGAGGGUCAUUGGAAACUGGGGAACUUGAGUGCAGGAGAGGAAAGUGGAAUUCCACGUGUAGCGGUGAAAUGCGUAGAUAUGUGGAGGAACACCAGUGGCGAAGGCGACUUUCUGGCCUGUAACUGACACUGAGGCGCGAAAGCGUGGGGAGCAAACAGGAUUAGAUACCCUGGUAGUCCACGCCGUAAACGAUGAGUGCUAAGUGUUGGGGGGUUUCCGCCCCUCAGUGCUGCAGCUAACGCAUUAAGCACUCCGCCUGGGGAGUACGGCCGCAAAGACUG